AUCGGAAAGGCUUUGAUCAUUCACGACGUUGGUUUUUUCUUCUUCCUUAUCAUUAAGGUUAUCUUUCAUUUCUAAAGUCCUUUGUUGAUGGUGCUGAUGUUGGUACUACUUGAUUCAAUCAACGAUUUUGCUGUGCUGUUUCGUAUGAAAAGGAGUAACCGUAGGUUUCAAUUUUGCACUGAAUAAAAGCACAUAAAAUGUAUCAACAAUUGCUGUCUUUCAGAGAGACAGAGUCAUGAUUGCCUGAGCCGCCAAAGAUUAUCCACUAUCUCCUGCCUCAUACCUUUGCCAUGACACUUACAGGGAACUGAAUGAUGCACCAAAGAUAACCACCACAAAUUGUAAUGUAAAUAUCAAAAUGUACACACCGCUGAAAUCAUGCAAGUAA